GCGGAGACAAAUGUUUCCGUUCACUCCUCACACCACACUCCGCCCAAGGGUGACGCGGGCGGUU
rnacentral:sRNA from 1 species